UGCCAGCCGCCGCGGUAAUACGUACUGGGCGAACGUUGUUCGGAAUUAUUGGGCGUAAAGAGCAUGUAGGCGGACUAUUAAGUCUGGCGUGAAAGCCCGGGGCUCAACCCCGGAAGUGCGUUGGAUACUGGUAGUCUUGAGUAUGGGAGAGGAAAGUGGAAUUCCGAGUGUAGGAGUGAAAUCCGUAGAUAUUCGGAGGAACACCAGUGGCGAAGGCGGCUUUCUGGACCGAUACUGACGCUGAGACGCGAAAGCGUGGGGAGCAAACAGGAUUAGAUA
rnacentral:rRNA from 1 species